UACGGAGGAUGCAAGCGUUAUCCGGAUUCAUUGGGUUUAAAGGGUACGUAGGUGGCCCAGUAAGUCAGUGGUGAAAUCCUGCCGCUUAACGGUAGAACUGCCAUUGAUACUGCUGGGCUUGAGUACAGUUGAGGUAGGCGGAAUGUGUAGUGUAGCGGUGAAAUGCUUAGAUAUUACACAGAACCCCGAUUGCGAAGGCAGCUUACUAAACUGUAACUGACACUGAGGUACGAAAGCGUGGGGAGCGAAC
rnacentral:rRNA from 1 species